rnacentral:lncRNA from 1 species
AAUACUUCAGAACUAGAGGCUCUAAAGAGCCUGUGUCGCUCACCUUGGUCUAUGUGAAUAUUAAACAAAGGACGCAGAUGGAUUCAUGACAAAAUUGUGUUUUGGUGAUGGUGAUGUGUUUGUAAAUCUUACUUUACUGAACAUUCUUGCUGCUUACAAUUAUCUCUAUCUAUAAUGAACUUGGCCCAGUAGUUUCAGAGGAGAAGAUUUUUGUAAGAUAACUAAGAUUUACGAAAAAUGGUUCAAAAUUGACUAUAAAGGGCAAUAACUCCUAAAGGGGUCAACUGACCAUUUCAGUCAUGUUGACUUAUUUGUAAAUCUUACUUUGCUGAACAUUAUUGCUGUUUACAGUUUAUCUCUAUCUAUAAUAAUAUUCAAGAUAAUAACCAAAAACAGCAAAAUUUCCUUAAAAUUACCAAUUCAGGGGCAGCAACCCAACAACAGGUCGUCCAAUUCAUCUGAAAAUUUCAGGGCAGAUAGAUCUUGACCUGAUAAUCAAUUUUACUACAUGUCAGAUUUGCUCUAAAUGCUUUGGUUUUUGAGUUAUAAGCCAAAAACUGAAUUUUACCCCUAUGUUCUAUUUUUAGCCGUGGCGGCCAUCUUGGUUGGUUGACCGGGUCACGCCACACAUUUUUUAAACUAGAUACCCCAAUGAUGAUUGUGGCCAAGUUUGGUUUAAUUUGGCCCAGUGGUUUCAGAGGAGAAGGUUUUUGUAAUAGAUUACUAAGAUUUACGAAAAAUGGUUCAAAAUUGACUAUAAAGGGCAAUAACUCCUAAAGGGGUCAACUGACCAUUUCAGUCAUGUUGACUUAUUUGUA